rnacentral:rRNA from 1 species
CCACAUUCGGUGGGGAUUAGUGGCGAACGGGUGAGUAACACGUGGGCAAUCUGCCCUUCACUCUGGGACAAGCCCUGGAAACGGGGUCUAAUACCGGAUACUGACCGGCCUGGGCAUCCAGGCGGGUCGAAAGCUCCGGCGGUGAAGGAUGAGCCCGCGGCCUAUCAGCUUGUUGGUGAGGUAAUGGCUCACCAAGGCGACGACGGGUAGCCGGCCUGAGAGGGCGACCGGCCACACUGGGACUGAGACACGGCCCAGACUCCUACGGGAGGCAGCAGUGGGGAAUAUUGCACAAUGGGCGAAAGCCUGAUGCAGCGACGCCGCGUGAGGGAUGACGGCCUUCGGGUUGUAAACCUCUUUCAGCAGGGAAGAAGCGAAAGUGACGGUACCUGCAGAAGAAGCGCCGGCUAACUACGUGCCAGCAGCCGCGGUAAUACGUAGGGCGCAAGCGUUGUCCGGAAUUAUUGGGCGUAAAGAGCUCGUAGGCGGCUUGUCACGUCGGUUGUGAAAGCCCGGGGCUUA